rnacentral:rRNA from 1 species
AUUGAACGCUGGCGGCAGGCCUAACACAUGCAAGUCGGGCGAGUGGCGGACGGGUGAGUAAUGCUUGGGAAUCUAGCUUAUGGAGGGGGAUAACUACGGGAAACUGUAGCUAAUACCGCGUACCAUAGGAUGAGCCCCAGUGGGAUUAGGGAGUUGGUGAGGUAAAGGCUCACCAAGCAGAAGAUCUCUAGCUGGUCUGAGAGGAUGAUCAGCCACACUGGGACUGAGACACGGCCCAGACUCCUACGGGAGGCAGCAGGGGGGAAUAUUGCACAAUGGGCGCAAGCCUGAUGCAGCCAUGCCGCGUGGAUGAAGAAGGCCUUCGGGUUGUAAAGUACUUUCAGUCGGGAGGCGUUACCGACAGAAGAAGCACCGGCUAACUCCGUGCCAGCAGCCGCGGUAAUUC